GACGGAGGAUGCAAGUGUUAUCCGGAAUCACUGGGCGUAAAGCGUCUGUAGGUGGUUUAAAAAGUCUAUUGUUAAAAAUUGAAGCUUAACUUCAAAGAUGCAAUGGAAACUUUUAAACUUGAGUAUGGUAGGGGUAGAGGGAAUUUCCAGUGGAGCGGUGAAAUGCGUAGAUAUUGGAAAGACCACCAAUGGCGAAGGCACUCUACUGGGCCAUUACUGACACUGAGAGACGAAAGCUAGGGGAGCAAAUGGGAUUAGAUACCCCAGUAGUCCUAGCUGUAAACGAUGGAUACUAGAUGUUGUGUGUAUUGACCCAUGCAGUAUCGUAGCUAACGCGUUAAGUAUCCCGCCUGGGAAGUAUGCUCGCAAGAGUGAA
rnacentral:rRNA from 1 species